rnacentral:rRNA from 1 species
ACGGCCUAUCAGCUUGUUGGUGGGGUAAUGGCCUACCAAGGCGACGACGGGUAGCCGGCCUGAGAGGGUGACCGGCCACACUGGGACUGAGACACGGCCCAGACUCCUACGGGAGGCAGCAGUGGGGAAUAUUGCACAAUGGGCGCAAGCCUGAUGCAGCGACGCCGCGUGAGGGAUGACGGCCUUCGGGUUGUAAACCUCUUUCAGCAGGGAAGAAGCCACAAGUGACGGUACCUGCAGAAGAAGCGCCGGCUAACUACGUGCCAGCAGCCGCGGUAAUACGUAGGGCGCAAGCGUUGUCCGGAAUUAUUGGGCGUAAAGAGCUCGUAGGCGGUUUGUCGCGUCUGCUGUGAAAGCCCGGGGCUCAACCCCGGGUCUGCAGUGGGUACGGGCAGACUAGAGUGCAGUAGGGGAGACUGGAAUUCCUGGUGUAGCGGUGAAAUGCGCAGAUAUCAGGAGGAACACCGAUGGCGAAGGCAGGUCUCUGGGCUGUUACUGACGCUGAGGAGCGAAAGCAUGGGGAGCGAACAGGAUUAGAUACCCUGGUAGUCCAUGCCGUAAACGUUGGGCACUAGGUGUGGGGGACAUUCCACGUUCUCCGCGCCGUAGCUAACGCAUUAAGUGCCCCGCCUGGGGAGUACGGCCGCAAGGCUAAAACUCAAAGGAAUUGACGGGGGCCCGCACAAGCGGCGGAGCAUGCGGAUUAAUUCGAUGCAACGCGAAGAACCUUACCAAGGCUUGACAUCCACCGGACCGCACUGGAGACAGUGCUUCCCUUCGGGGCUGGUGGACAGGUGGUGCAUGGUUGUCGUCAGCUCGUGUCGUGAGAUGUUGGGUUAAGUCCCGCAACGAGCGCAACCCUCGUUCUAUGUUGCCAGCACGUGAUGGUGGGGACUCAUAGGAAACUGCCGGGGUCAACUCGGAAGAAAGGUGGGGAUGACCUCAAAUCAUCCUGCCCCCUUAUGUCUUGGGGUUUCACGCAGGCUACAAUGGGCCCGUACAAAGGGUGUCCA